GACGAACGCUGGCGGCGUGCUUAACACAUGCAAGUCGAACGGAAAGGCCCUGCUUUUGUGGGGUGCUCGAGUGGCGAACGGGUGAGUAACACGUGAGUAACCUGCCCUUGACUUUGGGAUAACUUCAGGAAACUGGGGCUAAUACCGGAUAGGAGCUCCUGCUGCAUGGUGGGGGUUGGAAAGUUUCGGCGGUUGGGGAUGGACUCGCGGCUUAUCAGCUUGUUGGUGGGGUAGUGGCUUACCAAGGCUUUGACGGGUAGCCGGCCUGAGAGGGUGACCGGCCACAUUGGGACUGAGAUACGGCCCAGACUCCUACGGGAGGCAGCAGUGGGGAAUAUUGCACAAUGGGCGGAAGCCUGAUGCAGCAACGCCGCGUGCGGGAUGACGGCCUUCGGGUUGUAAACCGCUUUCGCCUGUGACGAAGCGUGAGUGACGGUAAUGGGUAAAGAAGCACCGGCUAACUACGUGCCAGCAGCCGCGGUGAUACGUAGGGUGCGAGCGUUGUCCGGAUUUAUUGGGCGUAAAGGGCUCGUAGGUGGUUGAUCGCGUCGGAAGUGUAAUCUUGGGGCUUAACCCUGAGCGUGCUUUCGAUACGGGUUGACUUGAGGAAGGUAGGGGAGAAUGGAAUUCCUGGUGGAGCGGUGGAAUGCGCAGAUAUCAGGAGGAACACCAGUGGCGAAGGCGGUUCUCUGGGCCUUUCCUGACGCUGAGGAGCGCAAGCGUGGGGAGCGAACAGGCUUAGAUACCCUGGUAGUCCACGCUGUAAACGGUGGGUACUAGGUGUGGGGUCCAUUCCACGGGUUCCGUGCCGUAGCUAACGCUUUAAGUACCCCGCCUGGGGAGUACGGCCGCAAGGCUAAAACUCAAAGGAAUUGACGGGGCCCCGCACAAGCGGCGGAGCAUGCGGAUUAAUUCGAUGCAACGCGUAGAACCUUACCUGGGUUUGACAUGGAUCGGGAGUGCUCAGAGAUGGGUGUGCCUCUUUUGGGGUCGGUUCACAGGUGGUGCAUGGCUGUCGUCAGCUCGUGUCGUGAGAUGUUGGGUUAAGUCCCGCAACGAGCGCAACCCUUGUUCACUGUUGCCAGCACGUUAUGGUGGGGACUCAGUGGAGACCGCCGGGGUCAACUCGGAGGAAGGUGGGGAUGACGUCAAGUCAUCAUGCCCCUUAUGUCCAGGGCUUCACGCAUGCUACAAUGGCUGGUACAGAGAGUGGCGAGCCUGUGAGGGUGAGCGAAUCUCGGAAAGCCGGUCUCGGUUCGGAUUGGGGUCUGCAACUCGACCUCAUGAAGUCGGAGUCGCUAGUAAUCGCAGAUCAGCAACGCUGCGGUGAAUACGUUCCCGGGGCU
rnacentral:rRNA from 1 species